GAUGAAGAACGUAGCGAAAUGCGAUAAGUAAUGUGAAUUGCAGAAUUCAGUGAAUCAUCGAAUCUUUGAACGCACAUUGCGCCCCUUGGUAUUCCGAGGGGCAUGCCUGUUCGAGCGUCAUUAUAACCCCUCAAGCUCAGCUUGGUGUUGGGGCCUGCCGCACGGGCAGCCCUUAAAAUCAGUGGCGGUGCCAUCUGGCUCUAAGCGUAGUAAUUCUUCUCGCUAUAGAGUCCCGGUGGAUGCUUGCCAUUAACCCCCAAUGUUCUAUGGUUGACCUCGGAUCAGGUAGGGAUACCCGCUGAACUUAAGCAUAUCAAUAAGCGGAGGA
rnacentral:misc_RNA from 1 species